rnacentral:rRNA from 1 species
CAGCAGCCGCGGUAAGACGAAGGGGGCUAGCGUUGUUCGGAAUCACUGGGCGUAAAGCGCACGUAGGCGGACUUUUAAGUCAGAGGUGAAAUCCCAAGGCUCAACCUUGGAACUGCCUUUGAUACUGGGAGUCUUGAGUUCGGGAGAGGUGAGUGGAACUGCGAGUGUAGAGGUGAAAUUCGUAGAUAUUCGCAAGAACACCAGUGGCGAAGGCGGCUCACUGGUCCGGUACUGACGCUGAGGUGCGAAAGCGUGGGGAGCAAACAGGAUUAGAUACCCCUGUAGUCCCUGUCUCUUAUAC